CCCAAACCCUCUCAUCCUUUCUGUAAUGUCGUCCCCGCCGUCCCUAGAUACCUCCAUGAUUGAGUAGCUCUAUCGCCGCCAACCCUACAACCACGCGUGCCUCACAGCACCACCCACCCAGCGACCACUCGAACGACGAUUUGUGCGUCGCACACGUGAUUGGGAACCUCUGCCACGCCACAGCUUUCCAUUAAGCCCUUCAUCAAUGGCAGAGCCUCAGGUAUGCUCGCUACCUGCGUCACCUAACCCAUCGAUAUGAUCAAGAGACAGAAAAAAUGAGAAGAAAUUCAAAAGAAUUAAGGGGCACAAAAGGAAAAGAUGGAGCUCCCACUCUUCAACGUAACCACAAACUUUUCAGAUGAUAUGAAGCUUGAAGAAGGUGGCUUCGGACCUGUUUACAAGGCCAAGCGCAAUAGCAGAUGGACAAGAAUUUGCUGUGAAGAGGCUUUCAAGCAGUUCCAGCUAAGGAUUUAAAGAGUUCAUAAAUGAAAUUAUAACGAUUCCCAAACUUCAGCACUGAAAUCUUGUAAAGAUAGAUUCUUGGUUGUUGCGUGCUAGAAGAGGAGAAAAUGCUGAUGUAUGAAUACAUACAUUGCCAACAGAAGCGGGACUUCUUCAUUUUUGAACUUGGCUUCAAGGACGAUAAUUGGUAUGGGUAAGUGACGAGGAGACCUUUAUUACCUUGUGGCGCUAGCUUCCAUCUCUCCAUCCAAACAUCCUUUUGCUUCUCACCUUACCAUCUCUUUCGACCUUUGGCAUCACCCUUUGGGGCAUUCUUUUCCCACCCGUUUAAAAUAUAUAGCCAAUAACUCGCUUCAUUUCAUUUUGAUUCCAACAGUAAGUGUGAAAUUUGUCCUUUGUCUAAACAAACUCGCCAACCUUUUCCUUCUAGUUCAAUAUUAACUUCUCGAUG